AAUGAACGCUAGUAGUAUGCUUAACACAUGCAAGUCGAACGAAAGUUUUACACUUUCGUGGCGUACGGGUGAGUAAAUGCAGAAUUCUUCCUUCCAGUUCAGUACAAAAUUGCUUCUAGUAAUAAAUUCUGAAUAUUUUUAAAGGUUUAUUCCGCUGAAAGAUGAAUCUGCUUAAGAUUAGGUUGUUGGUAAUUUAAAAGCUUACCAAGCCGAUGAUCUUUAGUUGGUCUGAGAGGAUGAUCAACCGACACUGGAACUGAAACAAGGUCCAGGCUAAUCGUUGGCCAGCAGUGAGGAAUAUUGGAGUCAAUGAACGAAAGUUUGAUCCCAGC
rnacentral:rRNA from 1 species